GGGGAAUUUUGGACAAUGGGGGCAACCCUGAUCCAGCCAUGCUGCGUGCCUGAAGAAGGCCUUUGGGUUGUAAAGCUCUUUCAGCCGGGAAGAAAUCGUGCAGGCUAAUAUCCGUUGUUGAUGACGGUACCCGCAUAAGAAGCACCGGCUAACUACGUGCCAGCAGCCGCGGUAAUACGUAGGGUGCGAGCGUUAAUCGGAAUUACUGGGCGUAAAGCGUGCGCAGGCGGUUUCGUAAGACAGACGUGAAAUCCCCGGGCUCAACCUGGGAACUGCGUUUGUGACGUCGAGGCUAGAGUACGGCAGAUGGGGGUAGAAUUCCACGUGUAGCAGUGAAAUGCGUAGAGAUGUGGAGGAAUACCGAUGGCGAAGGCAGCCCCCUGGGUUAGUACUGACGCUCAUGCACGAAAGCGUGGGGAGCAAACA
rnacentral:rRNA from 1 species